rnacentral:rRNA from 1 species
UGGGGAAUAUUGCACAAUGGGCGAAAGCCUGAUGCAGCAACGCCGCGUGAGUGAUGAAGGCCUUCGGGUUGUAAAGCUCUGUCUUCUGGGACGAUAAUGACGGUACCAGAGGAGGAAGCCACGGCUAACUACGUGCCAGCAGCCGCGGUAAUACGUAGGUGGCAAGCGUUGUCCGGUUUUACUGGGCGUAAAGGAUGCGUAGGCGGAUACUUAAGUCAGAUGUGAAAAUCCCGGGCUUAACUUGGGAACUGCAUUUGAAACUGGGUAUCUAGAGUGCGGGAGAGGAAAGUGGAAUUCCUAGUGUAGCGGUGAAAUGCGUAGAGAUUAGGAAGAACACCAGUGGCGAAGGCGACUUUCUGGACCGUAACUGACGCUGAGGCAUGAAAGCGUGGGGAGCAAACA